GACGAACGCUGGCGGCGUGCUUAACACAUGCAAGUGGAGCGACGAACCAGGGCUUGCCCUGGGGCAGAGCCGCGAACGGGUGAGUAACACGUGGGCAACCUGCCCCGAUGACUGGGACAACCCGGGGAAACCCGGGCUAAUACCGGAUGUGCCCGCCUCACACCAGUGAGGCGUGUAAAGGAAGCUUCGGCCUCCGCAUUGGGAUGGGCCCGCGGCCCAUUAGCUUGUUGGUGAGGUAAUGGCUCACCAAGGCUG
rnacentral:rRNA from 1 species